CUCGUAAGAAGUAAGUUUCCAAUCGGAUCCGCCAACGUGUACAGGACAGCUUCCUUGUCGCUUCCUUUCAUUUGCUACAGGUUUACUUUUCUUUGCCAAAUGAACGCUUGCGGACGAGUUAUGGCGUAUAGAUUGCUGUCCAGCUGCCUGUUUACAGUUAAACAUCUUAAAUACAAGAGAUAUUUAGCUAGCUAAUUAAUCUGUAACAUGUGACUGGCAUUCGCUGUAGCCAAGUGAUGGUAAUAUGCCCCGUUACUGCUCACCUCUAGUUAAUCACAGAUUCCUUACAAGGCUAGUUAGCUAACAAGCCAGCUAGCGUUACCUAGUUAGGUUAGCUAAAAUAACUAACCUAGCUAUCUAAAAACCAAGCCAAUUUCAUGCUAAAGCAUAAUGUUAGCUAGCUGGGCACAAAAUGCUACUCUACAGCCAUGGAUUUAAUACUAAAGCCUACGGAGAACAGGGGCAUUUCCACUUUCUGCAGUCCAGGGUGAGGAGGUUAUGGCAGGGUCCUUCGGAGUGGGGGGACGGGACCCUUUAUCAUCCCCUAUUGCCUGCCUCCUUCUCUGCAAGACCAACUGAAGCUCCGCCUCGCCUACAUUGUGACUAAUUCUCUUCCUGGACAUCACCCUUUUAUGACUUGGUCUCUUUAUGGAGUCCUGGAAUUCAUCGUUUAGAUCGUAUCAAUAGCUGUC